CGGCGUGGAUUAGGCAUGCAAGUCGAACGAGAAAGUUCCCUUCGGGGGAUGAGUAAAGUGGCGAACGGGAGAGUAACGCGUGGGAAACCUGCCCUUCAGCGGGGGACAACAGUUCUAACGAACUGCUAAUACCGCAUACGACCCGGUGGCCGCAUGGCUGCCGGCUGAAAGAUGGCCUCUGCUUGCAAGCUGUCACUGAAGGAUGGUCCCGCGUUCCAUUAGCUAGUUGGCGGGGUAACGGCCCACCAAGGCGACGAUGGGUAGCCGGCCUGAGAGGGUGUCCGGCCUCACUGGGACUGAGAUACGGCCCAGACUCCUACGGGAGGCAGCAGUCGAGAAGCUUCGGCAAUGGGCGAAAGCCUGACCGAGCGACGCCGCGUGAGCGAUGAAGGCCUUAGGGUCGUAAAGCUCUGUCAGGAGGGAAUAAAUACCCGCGGUCAAUACCCGCGGGGGUUGAAGGUACCUCCAGAGGAAGCGCCGGCUAACUACGUGCCAGCAGCCGCGGUAAUACGUAGGGCGCAAACGUUGUUCGGAUUCACUGGGUAUAAAGGGUUCGUAGGCGGGCCAGUUAGUCAGAGGUGAAAGCCAACGGCUCAACCGUUGAAUUGCCUCUGAUACUGCUGGUCUUGAGUCCGCUAGGGGAUGGUGGAAUUCCUGGUGUAGCGGUGAAAUGCGUAAAUAUCAGGAGGAACACCAGUGGCGAAGGCGGCCAUCUGGGGCGGUACUGACGCUGAGGAACGAAAGCUAGGGUAUCAAACGGGAUUAGAUACCCCGGUAGUCCUAGCCGUAAACGAUGGGCACUAGGUGUUGGAGGACUUCACCCCUUCAGUGCCGUAG
rnacentral:rRNA from 1 species